CCUACGGGUGGCAGCAGUGGGGAAUAUUGCACAAUGGGGGAAACCCUGAUGCAGCGACGCCGUGUGAGUGAAGACGUACUUCGUUAUGUAAAGCUCUAUCAGCAGGGAAGAAAAUUAUGGUACCUGAGUAAUAAGCUCCGGCUAACUACGUGCCAGCAGCCGCGGGUAUACGUAGGGGGCCAGCGUUAUCCGGAUUUACUGGGUGGAAAGGGAGCGUAGACGGCAGGGCAAGUCUGGAGUGAAAGGCGGGGGCUCAACCUCCGGAUUGCACUGGAAACUGUACGGCUGGAGUGCAGGAGAGGUAAGUGGAAUUCCUAGUGUAGCGGUGAAAUGCGUAGAUAUUAGGAGGAACACCAGUGGCGAAGGCAGCUUACUGGACUGUAACUGACGUUGAGGCUCGAAAGCGUGGGGAGCAAACAGGAUUAGAUACCCGUGUAGUC
rnacentral:rRNA from 1 species